rnacentral:lncRNA from 1 species
AAGACCUAGCCCAACUUCGCCCUUUCUUUUAAGAUGAACCCAUCACAUACACCCAUGAGAUACACACUAAAAAAAACCCUAAGACAAGAGACAUCUUCUUCUUCAACAUUGGAACCAAACAUAAACCCUAAUAACCUUUUUCCUUCAAUGAACAACAACAGCCACCGAAGACCACCCAUAGCUGCUGCUCCCUGGACCACCAUGACUGCCUGAAACUAACAAAGACCCCAUGAUCUCUGUCUGCUCCACACACACUUACGAACGACCCUUUCAACCCUAAAUCAAUGACCCCUGCUAAAACCCUCACAAGAACAGCGCGACGAUGUCCUCCACCACACCCAUCGUCACUCUACCAAACCAGCGGCGCUGCCUCUCCGCUUACAACAACUCGCCAGAGACUCCAACCAGACUAGUCACUCCUCACAACUCUCACAUAUACACACAUAAACACAUAGAAACACACAAACACACAUGCGAGCACGAACAGAAGACAGGGAAGAAGAAAAUUAGAUAGGGAAAUUAGAGUUUGUUUAAUUGCUGUCCGUCGAGGUUUCGGGGAAAAUUCGCGACACCGUCGAGGUUGUCGCUGUUCAGAUUUUCCGAUGUUAAUCAGUUCAAAUUUAAAAUAACUUUGUUUUGUGGUCCAUCACUAUCCUAUCCUUUAUUAAUUAAUUUUGUUCCUAUAUGAUGGUUCAAUGAAAAUUUGAGGGAAUGCUUUCCUACUUGAGAUAUUUUGAAGUAGAAUGUUUGUCUGUAAUUGAAGUUUCAUUGCUUGUUGAGUUAGUUCACUUACUAGUUUAGUGCAAAAUUAAAUUAGAGUGUUCGAUAUUC